AGGGGAAUAUUGCACAAUGGGCGCAAGCCUGAUGCAGCGACGCCGCGCGGGGGAUGACGGCCUUCGGGUUGUAAACUCCUUUCGCUAGGGACGAAGCUUUUUGUGACGGUACCUAGAUAAGAAGCACCGGCUAACUACGUGCCAGCAGCCGCGGUAAUACGUAGGGUGCGAGCGUUGUCCGGAAUUACUGGGCGUAAAGGGCUCGUAGGUGGUUUGUCGCGUCGUCUGUGAAAUUCCGGGGCUUAACUCCGGGCGUACAGGCGAUACGGGCAUAACUUGGGUACUGUAGGGGUAACUGGACUUCCUGAUGUAGCUGUGACAUGCGCAAAUAUCAGAAGGAACUCCGAUGGCGAAGGCAGGUUACUGGACAGUUACUGACGCUGAGGAGCGAAAGCAUGAGUAGCGAACAGG
rnacentral:rRNA from 1 species